GGGGAAUUUUGGACAAUGGGCGAAAGCCUGAUCCAGCAAUGCCGCGUGUGUGAAGAAGGCCUUCGGGUUGUAAAGCACUUUUGUCCGGAAAGAAAUGGCUCUGGUUAAUACCUGGGGUCGAUGACGGUACCGGAAGAAUAAGGACCGGCUAACUACGUGCCAGCAGCCGCGGUAAUACGUAGGGUCCAAGCGUUAAUCGGAAUUACUGGGCGUAAAGCGUGCGCAGGCGGUUGUGCAAGACCGAUGUGAAAUCCCCGAGCUUAACUUGGGAAUUGCAUUGGUGACUGCACGGCUAGAGUGUGUCAGAGGGGGGUAGAAUUCCACGUGUAGCAGUGAAAUGCGUAGAGAUGUGGAGGAAUACCGAUGGCGAAGGCAGCCCCCUGGGAUAACACUGACGCUCAUGCACGAAAGCGUGGGGAGCAAAC
rnacentral:rRNA from 1 species